AACGCACAUUGCGCCCGCUAGUAUUCUGGCGGGCAUGCCUGUCUGAGCGUCAUUUCAACCCUCGGGCCCCCGGCUUUGUGAGCUGGAGCGGCCCGGUGUUGGGGACCGGCACAUCCCUCCGGGGAGCGCCGUCCCUCAAAUAUAGUGGCGACCACGCCUGCAGCACCCUCUGCGUAGUAGUAAACCACCUCGCACCGGGACGCGGACGCGGCCAAGCCGUUAAACCCCCAACUUCUGAAUAGUUGACCUCAGAUCAGGUAGGAAUACCCGCUGAACUUAA
rnacentral:misc_RNA from 1 species